AGAACGAACGCUGGCGGCAUGCCUAAUACAUGCAAGUCGAACGAACACUUCGGUGUUAGUGGCGCACGGGUGCGUAACGCGUGGGAAUCUGCCCUUGGGUUCGGAAUAACAGUUGGAAACGACUGCUAAUACCGGAUGAUAUCGAAAGAUCAAAGAUUUAUCGCCCAGGGAUGAGCCCGCGUAGGAUUAGCUAGUUGGUGAGGUAAAGGCUCACCAAGGCGACGAUCCUUAGCUGGUCUGAGAGGAUGAUCAGCCACACUGGGACUGAGACACGGCCAGACCUCGUACGGGAGGCAGCAGUAGGGAAUAGUUGGACAAGUGGGCGCGAAGCCUAGACUCCAGACAAUGGACCGCGUUGAGUG
rnacentral:rRNA from 1 species